GCACUAGAAGACACACUAAACUAUAGGUGAGAAGAUGCUUUCUUAAAACAUUAAAAAUAACAACAAGAACAACUCAAGUCAAGCAGGAAGUUUUAUGUCAACAAACUAGUGCACAAUUAUAUUUUAAGGAUUAUGAAUUAAGUGUGCAACUUGUUUGUACUUUCUUCUUGAACUAUGUUGCUUAUGAAGAAAAAGGUUUGAAAGGACUAAUACAUCAUCAAAACUAAAACUAG
rfam:Pteropus vampyrus cont1.201151, whole genome shotgun sequence.